rnacentral:rRNA from 1 species
AACGCGAAAAACCUUACCCACCUUUGACAUGUACGGAAUCCUUCAGAGAUGGAGGAGUGCUCGAAAGAGAGCCGUAACACAGGUGCUGCAUGGCUGUCGUCAGCUCGUGUCGUGAGAUGUUGGGUUAAGUCCCGCAACGAGCGCAACCCUUGUCAUUAGUUGCUACAUUUAGUUGGGCACUCUAAUGAGACUGCCGGUGACAAACCGGAGGAAGGUGGGGAUGACGUCAAGUCCUCAUGGCCCUUAUAGGUGGGGCUACACACGUCAUACAAUGGCCGGUACAAAGGGCUGCCAACCCGCGAGGGGGAGCUAAUCCCAUAAAACCGGUCGUAGUCCGGAUCGCAGUCUGCAACUCGACUGCGUGAAGUCGGAAUCGCUAGUAAUCGUGAUCAGAAUGUCACGGUAC